UCAAAAACAUGUCUUUUUGAAAAUAAUUUAAAGUCUAAUCUGCCCACUGAUAGUAAUUAUUAAAGGGCAUGCAGUAUAUUGACUGUACAAAGGUAGCAUAAUCAUUAGUCUUUUAAUUGAAGACUUGUAUGAAAGAUUUGAUGAAAUAUAAACUGUCUCUAAUUUAUUAAUAAAAAUUAAUUUUUUAGUUAAAAAGCUAAAAUAAUAUUAAAAGACGAGAAGACCCUAUAAAGUUUAAUAAUUUAUUUAUUUAAUAUUAAAUAUAUAAUUAAAUAUAUAAUAAUUAAUAUAAAUUAUUUUAUUGGGGUGAUAGAAAAAUUUAAUUAACUUUUUUUAAUAAAUAAACAUAAAUAAAUGAUUUAUUGAUCCAUUAUUAAUGAUUAAAAGAAAAAAUUACUUUAGGGAUAACAGCGUAAUAUUUUUUUUUAGUACAAAUAAAAAAAAAAGUUUGCGACCUCGAUGUUGGAUUGAGAUAAAAUUUAAAUGCAAAAGUUUAAAAUUUUGAUCUGUUCGAUCAUUAAAAUCUUACAUGAUCUGAGCU
rnacentral:rRNA from 1 species